AAGCCCUGGACAUCUUGCAGCAGCAUGCCAGUCACUACAAGAGCAAGUCUCCCACGAUAAGUGAUAAAACUUCUCAGGAGAGAGAUCGAGGAGGCUGUGGGGUGGUUGGGGGUGGUGGCAGCUGUAGCAGCGUUGGGGGAGCAGGUGGGGGUGAACGGAGUGUUGACCGGCCCCGCACCUCUCCUUCCCAGCGCCUGAUGUCCACACACCACCACCACCACCACUUGGGGUACUCGUUGCUCCCAGCACAGUACAACUUACCCUAUGCAGCAGGGCUUUCUUCUACAGCCAUUGUUGCCAGCCAACAAGGCUCAACUCCCUCACUCUACCCACCCCCCAGGAGGUGAGAAUGACAUCAAGUGCCCGGAUAAAAUCAGCUUCAUGGGCCCGGACUGGCUCACCCAAGGAGGUGCUGAAGGUGCCAUUUAGACAUCAGUUAAAUGGUGUUGAUCAUCCUGUUUGCCGUUUCCUCCAUGACUGAAGGCAGACCCUUGGCUAUCUCACCUCCACCAGACCUCCGGACUACCUGACCCUCCAUCUUCCUCAGGAGCUGGAGAGCUGGUACUUAGCAAAAAUAUUUAUUCUCUCAGCCACAGUCAUGACUGUUGUGGCCUCUGUGGAGAUGAAGGCACGGGAAGCAACCAGGGGAACAUGGCCUCAGCCCAGAGAAGCCACCGCUCUGUUCCCCAAGCCCUUGGUCUGCUGCCAGAGCAGUACCAGCUCCCCCGCCCACCAGGGAGGGACCCCCACCCCCAAGCACUGGGUAAGGUCUGAAGACAGCACAGCAGCCAUACCCCUCACCAUCAUUACCACCAUCACCAGAUUCUGCAUCUCCCUAGUGCUUUGCACCCUGGGAAUUGGCAGCAUGUGGAGGAACUAGAAUCUCAGGAAAGAAAUUGGGGGUUGUUUUCUACGUAAUUGUGAAAACAAGGUCUUCAAAUGUGGAGACUUCUCCCCAUUUACAUGAGCACAUGUAAACGCUCACAACCUAGCCUGGAAAGGAAGACCAAGGCAUCUGCCCCAAUAUGGCCUUGAGCUGCCUGUGAGGCAGGAGGCAGGGGUUCCACCACCAGCACAGGGCUCCCCAGGGACACUGGGAGCAAGCUGGUGCUGGAGCAUGAAUGGCAUCUGUGAAGUAGAACCUGCGUCCCCACUAAGUCCUGCUGCUUCUUAUUCCCCAACUCCUUGCCCUUUUCCCUUCCCUCCUAACCCCUUGGUGCCUUUCCCAGGGGGAUCCCCACACUGGUCUUGCCUCUUCUUUUCCACUGCUUGGCUCUUAAGCCUCAGGCAGAUAAACUAGUAUUCUCCCCAGCAUGGGGAACCUUGGAGUCUGCCAGGUCACCUUAGGGCAAGGCCCAGAAGGCAGCCCCUGGGAGCACCCAGCAGUUCUUGGAGAUGUACUGUCAUCUAGCCAUCUGAUAUCUUCCUCAUUUGGGGCCACAAAUGUAUACAGCCCAAUUCCUCUGUCUACAAGUACAUGAUUUUAUAUAGCUCAGUCUAUAACUUCCAUGUGGGCCAAUAUAAGCUGUGUUUCUUGGUAACAUAAAUUUUGUUUGAGGGGCCACUGGCCGUGGGAGGUUAUUUUUUCCUUAGACCCUGGGAUAACACAUCCAAGCCAUUACAUUAGAGUCUCAGAAUGUACUCAGUGGAGCUCUGCUUUGAGGCAGCCAACAUUUCUCUGCUCUCCGUAGAAAUGCAGUCUCCCAAUAGAAGCUUUAUGCUCUUUGUACUGGGAAAGUGAGGAUGAUUUGAUAGUUUUAUUGGGGUCAUGUCUUCCCCAAAGUGUGGGGAGCUUUAGCUUACUUGGCUUUUGAGGUAUCAUCCCUCUGUUCUCCCCUCCUAUCUUUCCAUGACCCUCUGGAUUGAGAGAGGUAAAGACUGACAGACACCAGCGUAGGCUGGAAAAGGGAGUGUGUGACCAGAGUGCCAAAAAUGACUAGGAGCAGGUACUGCUCCGACUCAGUUUGGAGAAUGGGAAACACAAUGUUUCCCAUUGGAGAAUGGGAGUAAGCACAAUGCCCAGUAGUACUUGAUGUCCAAGGACCCUGGAACCCUACACAUGAGAGGUUUACGGUCACCAUCUGCUCAAGAGGAUCCCCUCUGAUCUACAGGCCUUUCCCCUAGGUGUCUACGUCCUCGUUUUUGUUCAAGUUGGGUUCUGAGCCCUCCCCAAAAACCAUUGUUUUAAACCUCUUGGCAGGGCCCCAAAACAACCUCCCUCAUACUCAUCAUAUUCCCUCUGCCUCCUGCUGCCCUCGUGGGCAGUGCUCUGAGCAGUGACCUCCCUUUCCUCCAUGGAAGUAGCUAGUGCAGACACCUUCACCCCACCUCACCUGAGUCACCUCAACCAAGAGGGUGACUGAAUUUUGGCCUGAUUAUGCCCUCCUGGAGCUCCUGUGAGGUGGAGCCAAGGGCCCCUCUCUGUUCCUGUUUGUUUUAAAAUAUUGUUGUGUGUUUUGUAUCUGUGGCACUGGCCUGCAGCAUACUCUGUACAUAUUGUAAAGAAACCGUUUGGAGUAAUUUUCUUUUGCAUUGGGCAGGUAUUCCUGCAUUCCUGCCCUUUCCACUCGUUCUGUAACAGAGGAUGAACUUCUGUCUUAGCUGGGCAGCCUUGGGUUCUCCAGAAGAGAACAGGUUUUCCUUUUCCUUUUUAAAUUUUCUUCUUAAACAUUUGGCUCUUUGAUCCUCAUAUCCAAGUCUCCCUGAAGAGCAGGAGCUGCUCAGAAGAGCAGGUGAAAGCCACAAUGGCAGAUCCUGAUGCUUGCCGGGCCUAGUCUUCUCUCCAAAAUAACAUGAAGCAGCAGCUGUGGAGAUUCUUGACAAGUGCUGAGUGAAAGAUUUGCUGUCCACCUCUACAUGGGGAGGAGAAACACAGGGGGGAGCUACCUGUGGCAUCCAUGAUCUAGUCAGAGGGAUGAGAUGCUCAGCAGGGAUCCCCAUCCUAUCCCACCCCACAAACAAAGGCUGGAAAAAUUUGCUACCAAGGGCCAAGACCACCAGACCAAGCCUGUCUCUGAGCCACCCCUGCCCAGGCCCUCACAGACAUUGCUCACUGGGCUUCCCAUCGAGAAGCUGAAGAGAGAGGGGGCCUCAUCCCCAGAUAGAUCAGGCAAGGCUUGGAGAGCUGCUCUUUAGGAUCCACAUCAACUACUUCCUCAUUUUAAGGUAUGGCAGUUUCCUUCAUCCCCUUUUCCUGCCUUGUACAUGUAUGAAAUUUCCUUCUCUUACCCAACUCUCUCCACACAUCACAAGAUCAAAGAACCACACGCUUAGAAGGGUAAAGGGCACCCUAUGAAAUGAAAUGGUGAUUUCUUGAGUCUCUUCUUUCCAGGUUUCAAGGGGCCAUGGGAGGACUUAGAGAGUUGCGAGUGAAGACUGCAGAGGGCUAGGAAAGUAUUGUAUACAGGUUUUGAGGCCACCCAUGUCACUUAUCCCGUAUACCCUCUACCAUCCCCUUGUCUAUUCUGAUGCCCCCAAGAUGCAACUGGGCAGCUAGUUGGCCCCAUAAUUCUGGGCCUUUGUUGUUUGUUUUAUUAUUUGGACUUCCCAGGAAGCUUUCCAGUGAUCUCCUACCAUGGGGCCCUCCUGGGAUCAAGCCCCUCCCGGGCCCUGUCCCCAGCCCCUCCUGCCCCAGCCCACCCGCUUGCCUUGGUGCUCAGCCCUCCCACUGGGAGCAGGUUGGGGCGAGCUGGAGGCCCGGGCUGGAGGGGCAGUGUUGCUGUUCAUAGAUUUUGUUCCAUUGGCGUUGCUCUGUUGGAUUUAAUUUCAGUCUUCCUGAUUCUUCCCUUCUGUAAAGUGUACAUUACCAAGUUCCUUGUUUUUUUAUAUAUAUAUAUAAAUAUAUAUAUAUACAAACUGUACUCUUUUUGCCUUUGUACAUUCAGGCAAGAAGAGAAAAUAAAUCUUUUUAAGAGACAAUCACAAAUCUGUGAGGGCUGCUGGUUAUUUCUCCUGGAGUUUGCUGCUGAGCUGCCUCUUCCUUCCUCCCAACUUUCCUGUUCCCCCUCAGCUUUCCUGAUCUUCCUGGCCCUGCUCCAUAUGCAUCCUCAGCUUCACUUUCCCUGGCUGAUGGCAAGUUGUUGAAUCCAGUGUCCAGACUACCUGCCUUGUAACCCUUUUCUGCCCAGCAUUGUUUUCUGGCUUGGCCAGUGGCUUAGCCCAGGAGCUUUACUCUGUGCCCUGGCCUCCCCUCUCUUCACCUUUAGAUUCCAUUCACCGAAGUGACUUUGGACCCCUGGGUACUCUGGGACCUGUUUCCUGGAGGCCCUGGCUUGGGAAACUCACCUGUGAAACUAUGCAGCUGGGAGCUCUCUGCCUAAGAGUUUGCACUAUUUAAACCUGCCUGGGAGUUAGGACGGAUGGUUUUAGGAAUGACCAGGAAACUACCCCUAAAACUCCCCCUACAUUCCAGCCUCUAGAAUGCUCUGAUCCAGAGCUCAGUGGAUGAUUCCCAGCUGGUGGACUCUGUGGCUACCCCAUCAGAACAAGGGCUAAGGGUUUAUGGGUCAAGAGUAUUUGAUCAGAAUUUUAAAGGGUGGUACACUCUGAAACACAGCCCAACCAAACCAUUUGUUUGGCCUCUUUCUCUUUUCCUCUACCUUCCUCCUCCCCCCUUUUUCCCCUCUCUACUUCCUCUUCUUAAUUGGCUUUGGAAUUGAAGUAUAUUUUUAAAUUAUUUGUUGUAUUUAUUGAAUAAAGUUUUUAAUGUCCCUGUUCUUAAA